rnacentral:rRNA from 1 species
CGUGUAGGCGGACGCGUAAGUCCGGUGUAAAAGCCCCCGGCUCAACCGGGGAAGGCCAUCGGAGACUGCACGUCUCGAGUGCGGGAGGGGAGAGUGGAACUCUUGGUGGAGCGGUGAAAUGCGUAGAUAUCAAGAGGAACGCCGGUGGCGAAAGCGGCUCUCUGGCCCGUGACUGACGCUGAGGCGCGAAAGCUAGGGGAGCAAACGGGAUUAGAUACCCCGGUAGUCCUAGCCCUAAACGAUGGGUACUAAGUAGGGGCGGCUCCGAUGUCGUCUCUGCUGUAGCCAAUGUGCUAAGUACCCCGCCUGGGGAGUACGGUCGCAAGGCUGAA